rnacentral:tRNA from 1 species
UGGCUUAGUUGGUUAAAGCGCCGGUCUAGCGUAUACGGAUUCGUGGGUUCGAAUCCCAC